AGAGUUUGAUCAUGGCUCAGGAUCAACGCUGGCGGCGUGCCUAAUGCAUGCAAGUCGCACGGGACACCUUCGGGUGUUCAGUGGCGAACGGCUGAGGAACACGUGCGUAUCUGCCUUUCCGUGGGGAAUAACGGGUGGAAACACCCGCUAAUACCGCGUACGCUUGCUUCGGCAAGGAAAGCCCUUCGGGGCGCGGGGAGAGGAGCGCGCGGCCCAUCAGGUAGAUGGCGGGGUAAUGGCCCACCAUGCCGGUGACGGGUCGCUGGUCUGUGAGGAUGACCAGCCAGACUGGGACUGCGACACGGCCCAGACACCUACGGGUGGCAGCAGCAAGGAAUCUUCGGCAAUGGGCGCAAGCCUGACCGAGCAACGCCGCGUGGAGGACGACGGCCUUCGGGUUGUAAACUCCUUUUCUGUGGGAUGAACACGGACAGUACCGCAGGAAUAAGCCCCGGCUAACUCUGUGCCAGCAGCCGCGGUAAUACAGAGGGGGCAAGCGUUGUCCGGACUUACUGGGCGUACAGCGCGCGCAGGUGGUCGGCUAAGUUCGUGGUGACAGCGUGCGGCUCAACCGCACACGGUCCAGGGAGACUGGUCGACUAGAGGCAUCGAGAGGGAUACGGAAUACCCGGUGGAGCGGUGAAAUGCGUAGAGAUCGGGUGGAACACCCGUGGCGAAAGCGCUCUGCUGGACUGCAACUGACAUUGAGGGACGAAAGCUAGGGGAGCGAAUGGGAUUAGAUACCCCCGUAGUCC
rnacentral:rRNA from 1 species